GAACGGCAACGUCUCCUUAAAGCUGACCAGAGUUACUCUCUCUGAUACUGGAAGCUACAGGUGCCUCAUUCCAACACUGACCAGCCAGGUGAAGGAAACCACCGUUCAACUCUUUGUUGGUGCUGUAUCUCAGCCAGUGAUCUCUGUUGAUGGAACUAAAGACUGGGGGUGGUCCUGAAGUGUGAGUCUGGAGGCUGGUUUCCUGAACCUGAGAUGGAGUGGCUGGACAGUUCUGGAACCAUCCUCCCUGCUGAUGGACCUCCAGAGAGACACAGAGACUCAGAGGGCCUCUACACUGUGAGACAACAUGUCACCGUGAACAAGACUGACACCAACAGGUUCACCUGUAGAGUUCACCAGCAGGAGAUCAACCACCUGAAGGAGACAGAGAUUCAUGUCCCAGAUGACGUGUUUCCUAAAUCACACAUAGGGUUGAUUAUUGGUCUGUCAAUACUAUUAGCUGUUGUAGUUCUCGCAGCUUCAGCUGGUGUCUACAAGUGGAGAAAACAUACAGAGAAGAAGCUACUGGAAGAAAUAUUAAAGGACUUUAAAUUGGCACAGGAAAAGAGGCGUGAUGCCCUGGUUGUGGACAUUCACAGGGUUCACCUCAGUCAGAAUGUUACCUUGGUGAUUCCCAUAGCAUUUUUCUUGAUCCGUUCUGAGAGGUACUCUGAGAUCCAUCCUGCCAGGACCAGAAAGGACCAGAUGAAACUGUUGUACCAGGCUCUAGAAGAAGCAGAAGACACAAGACGGAUGAAAUCAGACUUUUACCGGAUUCUACUGGAUCUGGAACCUGAUCUUCUCAUCGAUCUGGGUGCCACAUUUGUGGACGUCAAUAAGGAUCAACUCAUUCAGAAGGUUACCAAGGUGAAGCCCAUCCUUCUUGAGCUGUUCUAUGAGAAGUUGUACUGUAACACCAGGAUCCACCAGAUGACCAGCCAGGACCAGAUGAGACAGUUGUACCAGGCCCUAGAAGAAGCAGACGAUCCAAGAAGGGUGAAAUUAGACAUUUACCGGAUUCUACUGGAUCUGGAACCUGACCUUGUCAUCAACCGGGAGGAGGUUAGAAAACUACUGGAACAACAAGUGAAGAACUUGAAAUUGAUUAGGGAAGUGAAGCAUGGACUGAAAGAAGAACAUAAGUCUGAGAGGAUUGAAGGGAUGGAGAUGAAGUCUUUACCUGGUUCAGGGUCUUUACCUGAGAAGAGGCCUUUACUGGCUGCUGGACCACAGAAUGAUGAUCUGGAUGAGAUGGAGAGGGGAGGAAGAGUUACUACAGACAAUAACUCUAUGCUAUAAGGUUACUAUAGAGAGACUAACUUUCUAUAGAGACCUGUCCCACCUAACAAAGCUGAGUUUCUGAGUAUAUAACUGAGUGAUAUGAAUCUUGGUAAGACAAAGUCAUCUGAUAAACGUGUCAGUCAGUUCUCUAUAAUCCACUUCCAGUAGUUCUUUACUUUUUGAAGUUUUACUACCCAUGUCUGUUAUGGGUUUAUAUCCAUUUCCUGGUUAUUCUAUAUAUGUUUUCCCCAUAAACAAUGUCUUUCUGAUCUCCCUCAGGAACUGAUAGAGUUGAAUUGAAUGGAAUGAUGGACUAAUGUCUCCUGUUAGAAUCUGUUACAGACUCUGAUGAUGGAACAAGUGAACAAGACUGAUAAAACCAUUUGUUGAAAUGUUUAUAUUUCUAUUGUAACUUCAACCUGUCAGCUUCUAUUGUAGCUUCAACCUGUCAGCUUCUAUUAUAGCUUCAACCUGCCAGCUUCUAUUGUAGCUUCAACCUGUCAGCUUCUAUUGUAGCUUCAACCUGUCAGCUUCUAUUGU